UUAAAAUUUAGAUUAAAAAAGUCGAGUUUCUUUUUUCCUUCCUAAAGCAUUUCAAUCUACAUUUCAGUCGGCUAUUAAUGUUUUUAGAUUACAAUCCGGAUACAUCUGGCUCGUGUUUAUGAGGCGAGGCGAUUGUGUUGAGCAAAUUUGAGAAUAUGAUUAUUGUGAUGUGUUGUUAGAAACAGAUUGUUUGAAAGCACUGCAUCAUAUUAAGAAUAUCCUAAUAAUUUCUAUGUCAUUCAAUUUAUCCGAAAUCGAGCCGAGAUUGAGAUAUUGAUGACAGGAGAUUACCUCUGUGGUAGGGGAAGAAUUACUUUGAAGUUGAAUGAAUAUUAAAUACUCAAAAAGAGGAAAAUUUUAUUGUCAGAAACAGGGAAUUUACAUCUAUUUUCAAGAUGAUUUAAGAAGCAACAAAGAGAAAUAAAAAUACAUAAAAAGAAUAAUAAUAAUAAUAACUUAUUCCAUCCAUCCCCAAGCAUCAAGUUGAGUGCAACUUGAAUACAUAGUAAGAAAGUAGUGAAAAAAGAAUAUAUUACAUGGAAAAGAGGAGAGGUUUGAUUUUAGAACCUUGGGCGUUUACACUCUGGUGGAACACCUUGAGGGAAACGUUUCAAAUCAGUGCAAUAGUUAUAAAUCAUGAAAUAUUUUUGAACCCAUCUUAAUCUUCUUCUUCCUGGUGCAUCAAGUUCGUUUGUUUCCCAUGCACCGGCGGAGACCGAGUUAGUUUUA